rnacentral:rRNA from 1 species
GCAAGUCGAACGAUGAACCACCUUCGGGUGGGGAUUAGUGGCGAACGGGUGAGUAACACGUGGGCAAUCUGCCCUGCACUCUGGGACAAGCCCUGGAAACGGGGUCUAAUACCGGAUACUGACCCUCGCAGGCAUCUGCGAGGUUCGAAAGCUCCGGCGGUGCAGGAUGAGCCCGCGGCCUAUCAGCUAGUUGGUGAGGUAAUGGCUCACCAAGGCGACGACGGGUAGCCGGCCUGAGAGGGCGACCGGCCACACUGGGACUGAGACACGGCCCAGACUCCUACGGGAGGCAGCAGUGGGGAAUAUUGCACAAUGGGCGAAAGCCUGAUGCAGCGACGCCGCGUGAGGGAUGACGGCCUUCGGGUUGUAAACCUCUUUCAGCAGGGAAGAAGCGAAAGUGACGGUACCUGCAGAAGAAGCGCCGGCUAACUACGUGCCAGCAGCCGCGGUAAUACGUAGGGCGCAAGCGUUGUCCGGAAUUAUUGGGCGUAAAGAGCUCGUAGGCGGCUUGUCACGUCGGUUGUGAAAGCCCGGGGCUUAACCCCGGGUCUGCAGUCGAUACGGGCAGGCUAGAGUUCGGUAGGGGAGAUCGGAAUUCCUGGUGUAGCGGUGAAAUGCGCAGAUAUCAGGAGGAACACCGGUGGCGAAGGCGGAUCUCUGGGCCGAUACUGACGCUGAGGAGCGAAAGCGUGGGGAGCGAACAGGAUUAGAUACCCUGGUAGUCCACGCCGUAAACGGUGGGCACUAGGUGUGGG